GUGUCAGCAGCCGCGGUAAUACGGAGGAUGCGAGCGUUAUCCGGAUUUAUUGGGUUUAAAGGGUGCGUAGGCGGAUAAAUAAGUCAGUGGUGAAACCCUGCAGCUUAACUGUAGACUUGCCAUUGAUACUGUUUAUCUUGAGUUUGGUCAAGGCAGGCGGAAUGUGUAAUGUAGCGGUGAAAUGCUUAGAUAUUACACAGAACACCGAUUGCGAAGGCAGCUUGCUGGGCCGACACUGACGCUGAUGCACGAAAGCGUGGGGAUCGAACAGGAUUAGAUACCCUGGUAGUCCACGCCGUAAACGAUGAUCACUAGCUGUUGGCGAUACACAGUCAGCGGCAAAGCAAAAGCAUUAAGUGAUCCACCUGGGGAGUACGGCCGCAAGGCUGAAACUUAAAUGAAUUGACGGGG
rnacentral:rRNA from 1 species